GAGCGGCAGAUAGGGUGCUUGCACCGUAUCGAGAGCGGCGGACUGGUGAGUAACGCGUGGGUGACNUACCCUUGGGUUGGGGAUAGCCCUUAGAAAUAGGGGGUAAUACCGAAUACGGUUACUGGGCAAAUGGCCGAGUAAAGAAAGGAGCUUCGGUUCCGCCCGAGGAUGGGCCCGCGUCCCAUUAGGUAGUUGGGGGGGUAAAGGCCUCCCAAGCCAGGGAUGGGUAGCCGGCCUGAGAGGGUGAACGGCCACACUGGGACUGAGAUACGGCCCAGACUCCUACGGGAGGCAGCAGCUAAGAAUAUUCCGCAAUGGGCGAAAGCCUGACGGAGCGACGCCGCGUGGAUGAAGAAGGCCGAAAGGUUGUAAAGUUCUUUUGCCGGUGAAGAAUAAGGUAGGGAGGGAAUGCCUUAUNGAUGACGCAANUNCGGNNAGGGCCCC
rnacentral:rRNA from 1 species